GCCAAUCCUAGCUUCUUAAUCACGUAGGUUUCUACGAUCUUCGAGAACAACCAUCUAAUUGGGGAAAGAAGGAUGGCGAGGAGAUAGAGAAGAAAGCCCUCGCCAGGUUUGUGAAUCAGAAGUUCGGCGAAUCGAUUCAUGUAGAGAAAAGCCAGAGGGAUUCCCCAUGGAUAAUAAUCAGUUAUGCUCCAGUGCUUGGUUCUGUAGAGGACAGUGCAGGGUUUCUUCGGGCCAUUAGCAUUGGCGCAUUCCAUGGCGAGAUCGAUACCGGAUUUCUGGA
rnacentral:misc_RNA from 1 species